rnacentral:rRNA from 1 species
GUAGGUGGCAAGCGUUGUCCGGAAUUAUUGGGCGUAAAGCGCGCGCAGGCGGUCCUUUAAGUCUGAUGUGAAAGCCCACGGCUCAACCGUGGAGGGUCAUUGGAAACUGGGGGACUUGAGUACAGAAGAGGAAAGCGGAAUUCCAAGUGUAGCGGUGAAAUGCGUAGAGAUUUGGAGGAACACCAGUGGCGAAGGCGGCUUUCUGGUCUGUAACUGACGCUGAGGCGCGAAAGCGUGGGGAGCAAACAGGGAUUAGAUACCCUGGUAGUCCACGCCGUAAACGAUGAGUGCUAAGUGUUAGGGGGUUUCCCGCCCCUUAGUGCUGCAGCCAACGCAUUAAGCACUCCGCCUGGGGAUACGGCCGCAAGGCUG